CUUUAUGUCUGUAGGAUGCUGCUAUGAUCACCUGGGCCAACUUCAUGAACAGGCAUAUUGUUGUCCCUGAGCUGAUGGUGGUGCAAAUGAGCAGACUGUCAUCAUUUUUCCAUAGGGACGUGGAAGCUUGGGGUUGCAGGAGAAUGGAAGACUGCUGCUGGGCAGGUAGCCGUGGCCUAUGCUCUAGCCUAUCCUCCCCAUUGCUCCUGUAAGAACCCAUUGAGUCUGUACUCUAUGGUCGCUCUUGGAGAUUGCUGCUCGGCACCGCCCAAGAGAAGAAAAAGCCAGAGAUUCCAUCUGGUUGGGGCCACCUUGAUCCCAGCUACUCACAAGAGCUGUUUAUUCCCACCAACACUGAACCUAGUGUAGCCCUCCUCCCUACAGGGUGGCCUUAAGAGCUGUCCAGCAGGCCUGGCAAAUUUUGUCAAAGCCAGAACACUGGGCAGGACUUCAGGGGGUGGGCCUGGGUGCUCAGCAGCCUGGAUUUGGAGAGGCAAGAGCUCAACAGAAGGUAGAGGCUUAUGAAAAGAGCAGAUUGGUGCCUCAGCUUCCUUGAUGGGAAGUGCAUGUAAUCUGUCAGGCCUCUGUGCCAGAGGUCAUUGCCCAGGGGUCACUUGGAUCCAGUAUCAUCUAUACAUAGGUAGUUAAAAUUAUAGGCUGUGGCAACAGACAAUAUGGGUCAAAAUUCUGGCUCUGCCUCUUUUUAGAUGCAUGUUACUGGGGAUUAAAGUAAGACUUGGCAAGGAGCUGAAUAAGAAGAAACAAAGAG